GCGUAUCAAUAAGCGGAGGAAAAGAAACUAACAAGGAUUCCCCUAGUAACGGCGAGUGAAGAGGGAAGAGCCCAAGAUUGAAAGCUGGCGUCUUCGGCGUCCGCAUUGUAAUCUCAAGAAGUGUUUUCCGCUUCGGACCAUGCCUAAGUCCCUUGGAAAAGGGCAUCAUAGAGGGUGAUAAUCCCGUACAUGGCAUGGAGCGCCCGAAGCUUUGUGAUACGCUUUCUAAGAGUCGAGUUGUUUGGGAAUGCAGCUCAAAAUGGGUGGUAAAUGCCAUCUAAGGCUAAAUAUUGGGGAGAGACCGAUAGCGAACAAGUACAGUGAUGGAAAGAUGAAAAGAACUUUGAAAAGAGAGUUAAACAGUACGUGAAAUUGCCAAAAGGGAAGGGUAGGAGGUCAGAGAUGCGGCCUGGGAUUCAGCCUUGCUUUUGCUUGGUGUUUUUCCCAGAUUGCAGGCCAACGUCGGUUUUGGGCACUGGAGAAGGGUAGGAGGAACGUGGCACCUCUCGGGGUGUGUUAUAGCCUCCUACUGGAUACAGCGACCGAGACCGAGGACAGCAGCGUACUCGCAAGAGCGGGCCUUCGGGCACCUUUACGCUUAGGGCGUUGGCAUAAUGGCCCUCUACCACCCGUCUUGAAACACGGACC
rnacentral:rRNA from 1 species